UGGGGAAUAUUGGACAAUGGGCGAAAGCCUGAUCCAGCCAUGCCGCGUGUGUGAAGAAGGUCUUCGGAUUGUAAAGCACUUUAAGUUGGGAGGAAGGGCAGUAAGCGAAUACCUUGCUGUUUUGACGUUACCGACAGAAUAAGCACCGGCUAACUCUGUGCCAGCAGCCGCGGUAAUACAGAGGGUGCAAGCGUUAAUCGGAAUUACUGGGCGUAAAGCGCGCGUAGGUGGUUCGUUAAGUUGAAUGUGAAAGCCCCGGGCUCAACCUGGGAACUGCAUCCAAAACUGGCGGGCUAGAGUAGGGCAGAGGGUGGUGGAAUUUCCUGUGUAGCGGUGAAAUGCGUAGAUAUAGGAAGGAAAACCAGUGGCGAAGGCGACCACCUGGGCUCAUACUGACACUGAGGUGCGAAAGCGUGGGGAGCAAACAGG
rnacentral:rRNA from 1 species